GUUUCAUUGGUAGUGGAAGGGGCAUGACUGUUUUCAGCCGAGAGCCCUGUUGUUCCAUCCUGGGGGCCUUAGAGAUGUUGUGCAGUAUUUAGAAGUCUUACUAACCAGCACAGUAACGCCACGAAUGAGUGAGCCAGUGUGGUAAGGUGGAUACAUUCAUCUCUUGGAUGAAGGUCGAGAUCUCAUGUUUACGAGAUUGUACGCUUACAAGUUUACUGGAUAACACGUUUACGGAAUUAUUCAUUUACUGAAAGUGUUGGUUCACUAAUCUACGAUUACUAUAGAGACUGAUGAAAUGAUGUAAAGAAGUAAAUAAAUAAAAGUAACUUUAAAUUUGUAA